rnacentral:rRNA from 1 species
UGGGGAAUUGUUCGCAAUGGGCGCAAGCCUGACGACGCAACGCCGCGUGGAGGAUGAAGGUCUUCGGAUUGUAAACUCCUGUUGAUCGGGAAGAAUGGGCUCCGAAUAAAUACUUCGGGGCAAUGACGGUACCGAUUGAGGAAGCCACGGCUAACCCUGUGCCAGCAGCCGCGGUAAUACAGAGGUGGCAAGCGUUGUUCGGAAUUACUGGGCGUAAAGGGCGCGUAGGUGGCCUACUAGGUCAGACGUGAAAUCCCCAGGCUUAACUUGGGAACUGCGUCUGAUACUGGAAGGCUUGAGUUCGGGAGAGGGAUGUGGAAUUCCAGGUGUAGCGGUGAAAUGCGUAGAUAUCUGGAGGAACACCGGUGGCGAAGGCGGCAUCCUGGACCGAAACUGACACUGAGGCGCGAAAGCUAGGGGAGCAAA